UACGUAGGGGGCAAGCGUUGUCCGGAAUCAUUGGGCGUAAAGAGCGUGUAGGCGGCCCGGUAAGUCCGCUGUGAAAGUCGGGGGCUCAACCCUCGAAUGCCGGUGGAUACUGUCGGGCUAGAGUGCGGAAGAGGCGAGUGGAAUUCCUGGUGUAGCGGUGAAAUGCGUAGAUAUCGAGAGGAACACCUGCGGCGAAGGCGGGUUGCUGGGCUGACACUGACGCUGAUGUGCGAAAGCUAGGGGAGCGAAGCGGG
rnacentral:rRNA from 1 species